rnacentral:rRNA from 1 species
ACUCCUACGGGAGGCAGCAGUGGGGAAUAUUGCACAAUGGGGAAACCCUGAUGCAGCCAUGCCGCGUGUGUGAAGAAGGCCUUCGGUUGUAAAGCACUUUCAGUAGGGAGGAAGGUAGUGUAGUUAACACCUGCACUAUUUGACGUUACCUACAGAAGAAGCACCGGCUAACUCCGUGCCAGCAGCCGCGGUAAUACGGAGGGGUGCGAGCGUUAAUCGGAAUUACUGGGCGUAAAGCGCAUGCAGGCGGCCUGUUAAGUCAGAUGUGAAAGCCCGGGGGCUUAACCUCGGAAUUGCAUUUGAAACUGGCAGGCUAGAGUCUUGUAGAGGGGGUAGAAUUUCAGGUGUAGCGGUGAAAUGCGUAGAGAUCUGAAGGAAUACCAGUGGCGAAGGCGGCCCCCUGGACAAAGACUGACGCUCAGAUGCGAAAGCGUGGGGAGCAAACAGGAUUAGAUACCCUGGUA